rnacentral:misc_RNA from 1 species
AACGCACCUUGCACCUUUUGGUUAUUCCGAAAGGUACACCUGUUUGAAUGUCACGAAACCCCCCUCGGCUCUAAUGCUUUCUAAAAGGAUUUGAGACGGAUUCUGAGUGUUGGCGUGAUAACGCCUCGCUUUAAAUAGAUCAGCACUUUUGGAUGGUUUAAUAUUAGUUCAAAAGACGUACUUGAUGUUGUAUUUAUAUUUCGUUGAGGCAGUCUUUGGUCGUUCCGACUAUCCGCUAAUAUGACGACUUGAAGAAUAGCUUCCUAACCCUAUGAAUUUAACCUUUAGACUUCAAAUCAGGUGGGACUACCCGCUGAACUUAA